rnacentral:rRNA from 1 species
UACUGAGUUACCGCUCUACAACCCUUUGUGAACAUACCUAACCGUUGCUUCGGCGGGCAGGGGAAGCCUCUCGCGGGCCUCCCCUCCCGGCGCCGGCCCCACCACGGGGACGGGGCGCCCGCCGGAGGAAACCAAACUCUAUUUACACGACGUCUCUUCUGAGUGGCACAAGCAAAUAAUUAAAACUUUUAACAACGGAUCUCUUGGUUCUGGCAUCGAUGAAGAACGCAGCGAAAUGCGAUAAGUAAUGUGAAUUGCAGAAUUCAGUGAAUCAUCGAAUCUUUGAACGCACAUUGCGCUCGCCAGCAUUCUGGCGAGCAUGCCUGUUCGAGCGUCAUUUCAACCCUCAAGCACCGCUUGGUUUUGGGGCCCCACGGCAGACGUGGGCCCUUAAAGGUAGUGGCGGACCCUCCCGGAGCCUCCUUUGCGUAGUAACUAACGUCUCGCACUGGGAUCCGGAGGGACUCUUGCCGUAAAACCCCCAAAUUCUUACAGGUGACCUCGGAUCAGGUAGGAAUACCCGCUGAACUUAAGCAUAUCAAUAAGCGGAGGAA